rnacentral:rRNA from 1 species
UAGGACUCUCGGCAAUGGAUAUCUUGGCUCUUGCAUCGAUGAAGAACGCAACGAAAUGCGAUACGUGGUGCGAAUUGCAGAAUCCCGUGAACCAUCGAGUUUUUGAACGCAAGUUGCGCCUGAGGCUAACUGGCUGAGGGCACGUCCGCCUGGGCGUCAUGC